AAAUGCGAUAAGUAAUGUGAAUUGCAGAAUUCAGUGAAUCAUCGAAUCUUUGAACGCACCUUGCGCUCCUUGGUAUUCCUUGGAGCAUGCCUGUUUGAGUAUCAUGAAAUCUUCAAGGUAAAUCUUUUGUUAACUCAAUUGGUUUCUACUUUGGUAUUGGAGGUCUUUGCAGCUUCACACCUGCUCCUCUUUGUUCAUUAGCUGGAUCUCAGUGUUAUGCUUGGUUCCACUCGGCGUGAUAAGUUAUCUAUCGCUGAGGACACUGUAAAAGGUGGCCAAGGUAAAUGCAGAUGAACCGCUUCUAAUAGUCCAUUGACUUGGACAAUACUUUUAUGAUCUGAUCUCAAAUCAGGUAGGACUACCCGCUGAACUUAAGC
rnacentral:misc_RNA from 1 species